rnacentral:rRNA from 1 species
GGGGAGGCAGCAGUGGGGAAUAUUGCACAAUGGGGGGAAACCCUGAUGCAGCCAUGCCGCGUGUGUGAAGAAGGCCUUCGGGUUGUAAAGCACUUUCAGUAGGGAGGAAGGUAGUGUAGUUAACACCUGCAUUAUUUGACGUUACCUACAGAAGAAGCACCGGCUAACUCCGUGCCAGCAGCCGCGGUAAUACGGAGGGUGCGAGCGUUAAUCGGAAUUACUGGGCGUAAAGCGCAUGCAGGCGGCCUGUUAAGUCAGAUGUGAAAGCCCGGGGCUUAACCUCGGAAUUGCAUUUGAAACUGGCAGGCUAGAGUCUUGUAGAGGGGGGUAGGAAUUUCAGGUGUAGCGGUGAAAUGCGUAGAGAUCUGAAGGAAUACCAGUGGCGAAGGCGGCCCCCUGGACAAAGACUGACGCUCAGAUGCGAAAGCGUGGGGAGCAAACAGGAUUAGAUACCCUGGUAG